UUUUUUAUGUAUGUUACAUCAGAACUUUUGAACGGAUAGACCGAUUUCGACAAAUUUUGUUUUAAUCGAAAGGUGGUGUAUGUCAAUUGGUCCCAUUUAAAUUUAUUUGACAUCUAACAACUACUUUUCGAGUUAUAUCUAAUAAUGCGUUUUUACUUGACGCUUUUUUCGUCGACCUACGUUGUAUUAUACCGCAUAACUUUCUACUGGAUGUACCGAUUUUGAUAAUUAUUUUUUUUG
rnacentral:misc_RNA from 1 species